rnacentral:misc_RNA from 1 species
GGCGAAUCUCCCGGCGAUCUCUUUCUCCGGCGAAAUCGAAUUUCAGAAAUCGCAGGUAAGAAUGGCAGAGCAGAAGAAGCAGAAAGUGGGAUCUAAAAAAGUGAAUCAGCUUCGUCCGUUAGAUUUUGGGGUUAAUAUAACUGUGAAGGUGAUUAGUAAGAAGCUAAUUGCACAGAGAAAUCGUAUUGCUGAAUGUUUGGUUGGUGAUGAAACUGGAAUUAUUAUCUUUACUGCCCGCAAUGAUCAAGUGGAUUUAAUUCAAGACGGUUCAACACUAGUGCUGACAAAAGCUAAAGUUGACAUGUUCAAAGGAUCGAUGAGACUUGCUGUUGACAGAUUUGGACGUAUUGAAAUUGGUGCACCAGCCAGUUUCUCAGUGGAGCAAGAUAUUAACAUGUCCUUGAUUGAGUUUGAACGUGUAGACGUUGUUGUGUAAGCAACCAUUUUCCUCAAAAAGGUAACAAAAGCUUUGAAUACAAAGCUUAAUUCUAUCUCUUAGGUACUUUUCCCUUGCAUUUCUGGAAGAGAAAGACUAAGACACUUAUUCCCAAAGUAAAACUUUUUUGUAGUAUUGAAGAGGAACAAGCUAUUAAUUCCUGUUUACUUAUUAAUGUGUUGGAUA